CAAUAGCGUAUAUUAAAGUUGUUGCAGUUAAAAAGCUCGUAGUUGGAUUUCGGGGUGGCCUGCCUGGUCCACCGCAAGGUGAGUACUGGUCAGCCGCCCUUCCUCUCGAAAGCCCCGACUGCUCUUCAUUGCAGUGGUCGGGUAGUUCGGGACGUUUACUUUGAAAAAAUUAGAGUGUUCAAGGCAGGCCGUCGCCUGAAUACAUUAGCAUGGAAUAAUGGAAGAGGACCUCGGUCCUAUUUUGUUGGUUUCUAGGGCCGAAGUAAUGAUUAAGAGGGACAGUUGGGGGCAUUCGUAUUUAAUUGUCAGAGGUGAAAUUCUUGGAUUUGUGAAAGACGAACCAGUGCGAAAGCAUUUGCCAAGGAUGUUUUCAUUAA
rnacentral:rRNA from 1 species